AGCACCUUGGCGCAGCGGAAGCGCGCAGGGCUCAUAACCCUGAGGUCCAAAGAUCGAAACUUUGAGGUGCUA
rnacentral:tRNA from 6 species